rnacentral:rRNA from 1 species
UACGAAGGGGCUAGCGUUGCUCGGAAUCACUGGGCGUAAAGGGUGCGUAGGCGGGUCUUUAAGUCAGGGGUGAAAUCCUGGAGCUCAACUCCAGAACUGCCUUUGAUACUGAGGAUCUUGAGUACGGGAGAGGUGAGUGGAACUGGCGAGUGUAGAGGUGAAAUUCGUAGAUAUUCGCAAGAACACCAGUGGCGAAGGCGGAC